UGCCGCAUGGUGUAAUGGUAGCACAAUUGACUCUGGAUCAAUUUGUUGAGGUUCGAAUCCUCAUGCGGCAACCA
rnacentral:tRNA from 1 species